CCCCUUCAGAGCGGCAACGGUGGGCUGUGUUUGCGGUUGCAUUUAGCGUCUUCUGUAUUGGUGAAUGCCGGUAGCCGUGCGGGUCUCGUCUCUCCCUCACUCUCCUUAAGCCUGUGUGAACUCUAUAAAGUUGCUGCAGGCCGGUGGUGGUGCUGGUGACUCGGGUGGUGGUGUCCCUUCCUUCUGUGUGCCGUGUCCUGGGAUUUUUGGGUGAUUUCACAUUGUGUGUGUGCUUGCCACGUGUGUUGAGUGUCUGAUUAUUUUCACCUCAAUAUUAUUUUGUAUUUGGUAGACUCCCCACUCCUCUCACUAGCUCCUGCCCACACCCAUAGGCCUCAGCUCCUGACUCAUAUUACUUUCUUUUCGUAUGGUUGGAUUUUAUAGUCUUUUAGAGUAUUUUUGAAAUAAAGUGUAUUUCUUGUUGUAAGUACUUGGACUCAUGUCUCUUGCCUGGGGUAUAACGAACCUGUGUCCUAUUAUUGUUAAUGGUGAAUAAUUCCUUGGGUGAAAUUCCCAAGGUGGCGUUGUCAGGCAAUUAAAAUAGAAUUUGGAUUGGUGUGACCCACUGCUCGACGCCGCGACAUAUAGAGUAUUUCCAUUUUGUUUUUUAAUGGGCGUUUGGCUGGGUAGAAGGUUUUGGAAUCAGGUAUUUGGAAAUUAUGGAAAACUGACAUAUUGAUCCUAUUAGUGUCUGGUUUAUUUUGAUGAGGAGAUUGUCCUCUCUUGAGCAAAAAGAACAAACAAAUUCCUGUAAAUUUAAGGGGAAAUUUCAACAAUACAAUCCUGUUAUGUUUAAAUGCAGUAUAUUACUGUAAAAUUUUCUCGUGAAACACUAUUAAAACAGCAUUUUACAGUAUUAUUGCUUGGAGGAAAGAAAGCAGUAAUUUACAUUAUUUUUUGCAGUGCAUUUUGGGAAAACAGAGAGUGAUAAGUUUGACUGGACAAUGCAGUUAGAUUUUUUUUCACCCAUCUUCAUCCUUCAAAUGAAUAGUUUCACCGUGUGUGGAGAGAGGAGCUGGACUCUGAUCCUGAUCCUCCAAACUACAGGGUGAAACAGGAAGCUGUUUUCACCACUUCAUGAUCAGCAUUGAUGGGCAUGACCUUUGUGAGGGCACCCAGCCAGCUGACCACACUCGCUGCAGUCUUUUCUACUCACUACAGCUUCAGUCUUCAGUCCCAAGAUGACGCUGCAUGCACACUGGAAUUU